rnacentral:rRNA from 1 species
UCAGAGCGAACGCUGGCGGCAGGCCUAACACAUGCAAGUCGAACGAACUCUUCGGAGUUAGUGGCGGACGGGUGAGUAACACGUGGGAACGUGCCUUUAGGUUCGGAAUAACUCAGGGAAACUUGUGCUAAUACCGAAUGUGCCCUUCGGGGGAAAGAUUUAUCGCCUUUAGAGCGGCCCGCGUCUGAUUAGCUAGUUGGUGAGGUAAUGGCUCACCAAGGCGACGAUCAGUAGCUGGUCUGAGAGGAUGAUCAGCCACAUUGGGACUGAGACACGGCCCAAACUCCUACGGGAGGCAGCAGUGGGGAAUCUUGCGCAAUGGGCGAAAGCCUGACGCAGCCAUGCCGCGUGAAUGAUGAAGGUCUUAGGAUUGUAAAAUUCUUUCACCGGGGACGAUAAUGACGGUACCCGGAGAAGAAGCCCCGGCUAACUUCGUGCCAGCAGCCGCGGUAAUACGAAGGGGGCUAGCGUUGCUCGGAAUUACUGGGCGUAAAGGGAGCGUAGGCGGACAUUUAAGUCAGGGGUGAAAUCCCGGGGCUCAACCUCGGAAUUGCCUUUGAUACUGGGUGUCUUGAGUAUGAGAGAGGUGUGUGGAACUCCGAGUGUAGAGGUGAAAUUCGUAGAUAUUCGGAAGAACACCAGUGGCGAAGGCGACACACUGGCUCAUUACUGACGCUGAGGCUCGAAAGCGUGGGGAGCAAACAGGAUUAGAUACCCUGGUAGUCCACGCCGUAAACGAUGAUUGCGUAGUUGUCGGGAUGCAUGCAUUUCGGUGACCGCAGCUAACGCAUUAA